rnacentral:rRNA from 1 species
CAGCAGCCGCGGGAACACCAGCACCUCGAGUGGUCAGGAGGUUUAUUGGGCCUAAAGCAUCCGUAGCCGGUUGCAUAAGUUUUCGGUUAAAUCUAUGCGCUUAACGUAUAGGCCGCCGAAAAUACUGUGCAGCUAGGGAGUGGGAGAGGUACACGGUACUCGAUAGGAAGGGGUAAAAUCCUUUGAUCUAUUGAUGACCACCUGUGGCGAAGGCGGUGUACCAGAACACGUUCGACGGUGAGGGAUGAAAGCUGGGGGAGCAAACCGGAUUAGAUACCCCCGUAGUCCCUGUCUCUUAUAC